rnacentral:rRNA from 1 species
UACAGAGGGUGCGAGCGUUGUCCGGAAUCACUGGGCGUAAAGGGCGCGUAGGUGGCGACCCAAGUCCAUGGUGAAAGCUCGAUGCUCAACAUCGAGUCGGCCACGGAUACUGGGUUGCUGGAGCACUGUAGAGGCAGAUGGAAUUCCAGGUGUAGCGGUGAAAUGCGUAGAUAUCUGGAGGAACACCGGUGGCGAAGGCGGCAUCCUGGACCGGUAUUGACGCUGAGGCGCGAAAGCCAGGGGAGCAAACGGG